rnacentral:rRNA from 1 species
GACGAACGCUGGCGGCGUGCCUAAUACAUGCAAGUCGAACGCAGUGGGGACGGGUGCGUAACACGUGGGUAACCUCCCAUCAGAGGGGAUAACACUUGGAAAUAGGUGCUAAACCGAUAAUGCUGGAUGGAACCGCGGUGCAUUCGCUAGUUGGUAGGGUAACGGCUCACCAAGGACACGAUGCAUAGCCGACCUGAGAGGGUGAUCGGCCACACUGGGACUGAGACACGGCCCAGUCUCCUACGGGAGGCAGCAGUAGGGAAUCUUCGGCAAUGGACGAAAGUCUGACCGAGCAACGCCGCGUGAGUGAAGAAGGUUUUCGGAUCGUAAAACUCUGUUGUUAGAGAAGCGGUAUCUAACCAGAAAGCCACGGCUAACUACGUGCCAGCCGCCGCGGUAAUAC